UCCGUGUGGAGCUUCCCCUCUGAAAUAGC
rnacentral:sRNA from 1 species